UAGGCUCCCCUUAUCCUUGUGUGAUAUUCGUUCCAUGGACAAGGACACAUUGGAGGUGAUUACCAACAAGGAGGUUAUUUCUGUUAACCAAGGUCUGGGCUGGUCCUCUAAGUGGCGAUAGGAUAGGAGUAAUAUUGUGGAACAGAAGAUCUUCCAAAGCCACCAUAAGAGCUGACUGAGUGACAUUGGCUUCAAAUCAUCAGCAGUGGUUGAUGCUCGAGAUUUAUGGGCGCAUUCAACUACUCACUCUGUUAAGAAUAAACUUGAGGCAAGCCAUAAUCUUGUGCAACACAAAAUAACAACCCGCAUAUUUUCGCUAGAAGCUAAUAAGUGUAGCACAGCUUUGUGGGUUUCUUGAUGCAAAGAAAAUAAGGCAAUAGUCACAAUUGCAGAUGAAGAUGGAAAUUAUUUACAGGAGGCAUGGGAGCAUAUUUUGACAUGUGUGUCCAGGUUUGAGCACAAUGUUCAGGUGUGCUGGGAGAAAUUUGGAGGGUACUUUGAGGUGGAGCUGAAGGAGGUGAAGCUAAGAGGUGGAUACUAUGUAAUGGACCCUCAAAAAGCAGUUGAAAUGGUAGAUGAUAACACUAUUUGUGUUGCUGCUUUUCUUGGUUCCACUCUCAAUGGAGAAUUUGAAGAUGUUAAGUUUUUGAAUGAUCUCGACUGAGAAGAACAAACAAACUGGACGGGACACUUCAAUCCAUGUUGAUGCUGCAAGCGGUGGGUCUAUUGCUCCAUUCCUUUACCCGGAGCUUGAGUGGGAUUUCCCGUUGCCUUUGGUGAAGAGCAUUAAUGUGAGUGGGCAUAAAUAUGGAUUUGACCAAUUCAUUUUCAAAGAAACCAUUAACCACUACUUGCUAACGGAUGUUGAGAACAUGUAAGAUAUUAAUUUGGAAUGUUAAACGUCAAAUGAGCUAGAUCUAAGAAUGAUUGUAAUGAUCGAUGGUGUUAGAAUCCUUUAAUCUUUUAAGCUAUUGCUUUUCCAAGUUACUUUUA